rnacentral:lncRNA from 1 species
UUGCUUCUGGUGAAGACUCUGCACUUCCAAACAGGAUGCUCUCAAGUUUAACAAAAGAAUCCUCAUCUGAUCUAUCUUCUUCACCUUCAGGUUUGCUAAGAUCCAUUAUUGGUACAUCUUCUUUUUCUUGGUCUGGUUCAUUUAUCAUAUCAUUGGUGUUAGGAACAAUGAUUUGUCCUCCUUGUAUAUUUGGUUUUUCUUCUUUGUUCUUGGUCUCAUCAAAACUGUCUUGCAAAUCAUAGUUGUUUUCAUUUGACUUGUUAUCAGAAGCAUUUUCUUCAACAACUGACAUUACUGGUAGAUGCAAUCCAACGUCAGAUUCGGUUGGUCUUGCUACAUUUCCUUUUCUUUUGAACUGCACAAUAAGAAAGCAUCGAUCAAGGCAAGAGGAGCUAGUGUCUUCCAGAAACUCAAAAAACCAUAUUAUGCACUUUUAUUUGUUAGGAUUGUUAAUGAUAGCUUGUAUAUAUUUGUAUUCUACUAGUUUUGUUUAAAUGUUGAGAGAUAAGAGACUAGAUUUCUUUUUAUUUUUCUAAUGAUAGGAGGUAACUCUACAACUCUCUUUUUCAUUGGAGGUAACUUCAUUUUUUAUGUGUAAUAUUGAAUAAUGAUGUAAUACAAAACAAGCAUAUAGUAUUAUUUUAUUA